GCGAGUGAAGCGGCAACAGCUCAAAUUUGAAAGCUGGCUCCGGCCCGCGUUGUAAUUUGCAGAGGAUGCUUCUGGCAAGGUGCCUUCCGAGUUCCCUGGAACGGGACGCCAUAGAGGGUGAGAGCCCCGUAUGGAUGGACACCAAGCCUGUGUGAAGCUCCUUCAACGAGUCGAGUAGUUUGGGAAUGCUGCUCAAAAUGGGAGGUAAAUCUCUUCUAAAGCUAAAUACCGGCCAGAGACCGAUAGCGCACAAGUAGAGUGAUCGAAAGAUGAAAAGCACCUUGAAAAGGGGGUUAAACAGUACGUGAAAUUGUUGAAAGGGAAGCGCUUGUGACCAGACUUGCGCCGGGCGGCUCAUCAGGGGUUCUCCCCUGUGCACUCCGCCCGGCUCAGGCCAGCAUCGGUUCUCGUGGGAGGAUAAGAACGGUAGGAACGUGGCCCCCCUCCGGGGGGGUGUUAUAGCCUACCGUACGAUACUCUCGUGGGGACCGAGGUUCGCGCUCCGCAAGGAUGCUGGC
rnacentral:rRNA from 1 species